rnacentral:rRNA from 1 species
AGCUAGCGGCAGGCUAACACAUGCAAGUCGAGGGGUAGAGGAAGCUUGCUUCCUUGAGACCGGCGCACGGGUGCGUAACGCGUAUGCAAUCUGCCUUGUACUGAGGGAUAGCCCAGAGAAAUUUGGAUUAAUACCUCAUAGCAUUAUGAAAUCGCAUGGUUUUAUAAUUAAAGUUCCAACGGUACAAGAUGAGCAUGCGUCCCAUUAGUUAGUUGGUAAGGUAACGGCUUACCAAGACGAUGAUGGGUAGGGGUCCUGAGAGGGAGAUCCCCCACACUGGUACUGAGACACGGACCAGACUCCUACGGGAGGCAGCAGUGAGGAAUAUUGGUCAAUGGACGCAAGUCUGAACCAGCCAUGCCGCGUGCAGGAUGAAGCAUCUAUGGUGUGUAAACUGCUUUUGUACGGGAAGAAACACUCCUACGUGUAGGAGCUUGACGGUACCGUAAGAAUAAGGAUCGGCUAACUCCGUGCCAGCAGCCGCGGUAAUACGGAGGAUCCAAGCGUUAUCCGGAAUCAUUGGGUUUAAAGGGUCCGUAGGCGGCUUUAUAAGUCAGUGGUGAAAGCCCAUCGCUUAACGAUGGAACGGCCAUUGAUACUGUAGAGCUUGAAUUACUUGGAAGUAACUAGAAUAUGUAGUGUAGCGGUGAAAUGCUUAGAUAUUACAUGGAAUACCAAUUGCGAAGGCAGGUUACUACAAGUGGAUUGACGCUGAUGGACGAAAGCGUGGGGAGCGAACAGGAUUAGAUACCCCUGGUAGUCCACGCCGUAAACGAUGGAUACUAGCUGUUCGGAGCAAUCUGAGUGGCUAAGCGAAAGUGAUAAGUAUCCCACCUGGGGAGUACGCACGCAAGUGUGAAACUCAAAUGAAUUGACGGAAGGGCGAAUUCCAGCAC